UCCGGGAGGCUGCUGAGAACCACUUAGGACCGGCAGAAGGAAAGUUUGGGUAAACAGCUGUGCAAUAUGGGAAGGUGGCCUUGCAAAGGAAUGAGGUCCCCAUCACUGGAGACUUCGAGGAGGGAAUCUUAGCAUGGGAAGGCCUCCUGCCAGCCUCCCACCCAAAGCCGAGGACUCUUCCUCAGUUUCCCUCUGGGACGGCCUCAGGCCUCUGCCUGGGGCACCGGGGAAGCUUCCAGCUUCGGCUGCCAAGACACGGGCCCAGAAGGCUUGGCUCUUGUCUACCAACACUCUCCAGAGGAGAAGAGAAGUCAAAACCUCCUGCCUUGGAGUGUCCCAGAGCACAGGCCUGGCAGAACCUUCCAGAAAGUUGCUCCUGCCUCACCUACCUGUUCUCUGGUGCUUCCCAGGGGCAGGGGCAGGGGCAGGCAGAACUGAAGAACAAAGAGGAAGCAACGUCUCCCGGCAAGCGGUAAGCAAAGAUCCAACAAGCAAAGGCAGAGAGAGCACUUCUGUGGGCCGGGCACGCUCACCAAUGGCAUCAUACUUACAGUGACCACUCACCCCAGGUUACCAGGGACUGAGGGGGUGCCCCGAUGCAGGACUUUCAGUGACAAAACCGGGCCAGUCCCAGGCAAACCGGGACAGUUGGCCACCGUACUGCACUUGAGCCUCGCAGCCAGCCCGUGGGGGGCACCAUUCUCCCCAUUUCACAGAUGAGGGGGAAGGUGAUGGGGGGGGGCGAGAAGCUUCCCUGAGGCUCCUGCAGCAGCCAACCCUCCACCCAGCUGUUCUCUCAAUUCUUUCUGCUUUCUCCAAAACCCGCUUCGCAUCUGCUCCAGACCUGGGCAAGGAGGUCUCAGCACAAGGAGGGCAUCACAGACCAGCAGAAGGACCCUCGGAGAGCCCUCGUCAAAGGCCCUCAGAGAUCAUCUGACCAACCCUCACCCCUGUACAAGGUGAGGAGACUGAGGCCAGAAGGGACAGACUCACCUUGACAAUAACCCCCUGCCCAAGCCCACGCCCCCCACUCCUCCAUACGGACAGAGAGGGGCUCCCAGGAGGAGAAAGAAGUGAGCCGGCUCAGCUUCUGGGGAACAGUCUCAGUUCCCCAGCUCUGCUGCCCUUUGGCCCCGAGAGCCCCCACUGGCAGCAGGCUCAGGACGGCCUUUGGGGAGCCCUUCGACUGAGCCCCACUCUUUCCUUGUCUUUGGAGGUGCUGCCUUCACUUGGGGAGUGAAGAGG
rnacentral:lncRNA from 1 species